rnacentral:rRNA from 1 species
GACAGAGGUGGCUAGCGUUGUUCGGAUUCAUUGGGUGUAAAGGGUGCGUAGGCGGUUUAGAAAGUCCGAUGUGAAAGCCCACGGCUCAACUGUGGAAAUGCAUUUGAAACUUCUAGACUAGAGUGCGAGAGAGGUGAAGGGAAUUCCCGGUGUAAGGGUUAAAUCUGCAGAGAUCGGGAGGAACACCAGUAGCGAAGGCGCUUCACUGGCUCGCAACUGACGCUUAGUGCACGAAGGCGUGGGGAGCAAACGGG